GCGGAUUGUAGCACAGGAUGAAAGCAAAACAGAAUGAAGCCAUGAACUGCAUCCUGAAGAUUCCGGCUCCGUCUGAAGCUCCCCUGACAGAGCGCACUGAGGGGAGACGAGAAUCGAGCAGAAUUGCGUAGGAAGGCAAUUGCCAGGCUUCAACCGACCUAAAGCAGGAAACACAAAUGUGAUUUCAAGUCAGACAGAAAGAAACAACAGGAUAAAUGUAACAGUACAGUAUUUCAGUAAGUUAAUUCAUAAAAAUAACUUUUUGACCCUAAUUGGAAAGACACCAACAUGACAGAAGAAAUAUUAAAAUCAUAAGUUUGAUGAGAUGGUCAUGAUGCAGGCAGUGGAGGGAAGCCAUGAUUUGUAACCCACCUCAGCAUAGUGACAAGACAACCAGAAGUCAUACGCUCAUCGCCAGACUUUAUCCAUGAAUGAUGUCAAGAAAAGUCUUGAAGCUUUAUAAAGGCUAAUUGCAUGUUAAUAGUUAUUUGCAUUCACAGCUUGACUUGUCACAUUUUAUUAAAAACCAUGAUA